rnacentral:lncRNA from 1 species
AUGCAGUUUUUGUUUCUGUAGCACUGUAGAAUGAUUUGAAGUCAGGUACUGAGAUGCCUCCAGCAUUGCUCUUUUGACUUAUAUUGCUUUGGGUAUUCUUGGUCUUCCAAAUCAAUCUUAAGACUGUUUUUUCUAGUUCCAUGAAGAAUGUCAUAUUUUAAGGGGAAUCCCAUUGAAUCUGUAUAUUGCCUUUGGUAGGAUGACCAUUUUAACAAUAUUAAUUCCAGGCAGCACUAUUUCUAAAAAGUCCUUAAGCGAUUACAUUGUGAAGCCAAUGUUUAGAACUACUGUUCUAAACUUGUGGUCAAACUUGUGAUCCUCCUGUCUCAGCCUCAUGAGCCACUGGGAUUACAGGCAUGAGCCACUGUGCUUGGCUAGGAAAAAUUUUAAUAAAUUUAACCAUGUCAAAAUUGAAGUUUUCUAGGGCUGAAUAAAUGACAAGUGUUAGCAAAGAUGUAGAUGAACUUAUGCACUGCUAGGGGCACACUGCAAAACAGAGCAUCCUGACAGUAUGUGGUCAAUAAGCAUGUACGGGCCCUAAGACCCAGCAGUCUCAGAGAUGUUCUUGCCUGGUUCCACAACUACCUACGUACAAGGAUAAGUACUGAAGCAUUAUUUGUAGUGGUAGGAAGUUGGAGGCAACCUAGGUGUCCGUCACUGGAAGAAGGGAUAAAUAAAAUGUGGUGGAUGCAAACCAUGGAAUUCUAUGCAGCAGAAGAAGAGAAAAGAAAGGAUGAAGUAAGAGGGCCCCACAUCUUUUAUCAAGAGAAAAAAGAUUUUCUUUUUUGGGGGGGGUAACAGGGAUUGAACUCAGGGGUGCUUAACCACUGGGCAACACCCCCAGCUCUUUUCUGUAUAUUAUUUAGAAAUAGGAUCUCACUGAGUUGCUCAGGGCCCUGCUAAGUCACUGAAGCUGGCUUUGAACUUGCAAUUCUCCUGCCUCAGCCUCCCAAGGCAUUGGGAUUAUAGGCGUGUGCAUCAUGCCUGGCCUAAGGUGCAAAGAUUUUCUCAGGAACCCCACUAUUACAGUUUGGAUCUGGAAUCCAACUGUAGGCUCACAUAUUGAAGGCUUGGUCCUUAGAUGGGGAUGUUAUUGGGAAUUGGUGAAAACUAUAGGAGGUAAGACCUAG